GAAAGUCUGAUCUCUCUCACCCUGGCUCUGUGACCCUGGGAAAUCACGUCACCUGUCAGGGUUCCAGGCAACUUUGUAGGACUCUCAGUUGCAGGGAAGGUGCGUUGGUAGAAUUUCUCAGCGAGACCUUGAAGUCAGGGUCCUUUCCCUUUCUCCCAUAAAUGUGAGCUGUUUUUACAGCCUAAGGCUCCCGAGCACAGAAUUCAUGGGAGACAGAGAAAUAUUCCCUUGGGUCUUAAUGGAACAACCCAGUGAAUCUGGACACUUUAGUGUUUCCUGAGUGCCCUCUCUUCAAUAUCAGGGAGCUGACCAUUCAUCUGAAGAGCAGGCACUUUUUGGAGGAUUUGCUCCGAGGCCUCAGUAUCCUGGAAAUCCUGGAAAUGGUCCAUUUCUUGGAGGACCUUCAUAUCCUCCAUAUGGUGGAUAUGGGCCAAAUCCUGGAAAUCCCCCAUAUUAAGAAAUCCCCAAAAUGUCCCCCAAAGAGGACCUCAAUAAACACAGCUUUGCCUGGAAGACUGACUCAAGCUGUCUUUGUGAAUCUCUCUAUCUGCCUAGUUAUCAGCCUCUAUUAUUGAGCAUUAGAUAGUAGCUCCAACCUUGUUAGAUUAACAUGAAUCAUUCUUCCAAAGGACUAAUGCUCUCCUUUACACUCCCCAUAUAAUAAAUUCAGCU